GAUGAACGCUAGCGGCAGGCCUAAUACAUGCAAGUCGAACGGCCCCGACACUUCGGUGUCGGGGUAGUGGCGCACGGGUGCGUAACGCGUACACAACAUACCCUUUACAGGGGGAUAGCGGCGGGAAACUACCAGUAAUACCCCAUGUCCUUGCGAGGUGGCAUCAUUUUGCAAAGAAAGUUCAAGCGGUAAAGGAUUGGUGUGCGUCCGAUUAGCUAGUUGGCGGGGUAACGGCCCACCAAGGCGACGAUCGGUAGGGGGUGUGAGAGCAUGGCCCCCCACACGGGUACGUGAGACACGGACCCGACUCCUACGGGAGGGCAGCAGUAAGGAAUAUUGGACAAUAGGACGGAUGUCUGAUCCAGCAACGCCGCGUGAGGGAGUGACGGCC
rnacentral:rRNA from 1 species